ACGAACGCUGGCGGCAUGCCUCACACCUGCCAGUCGAACGCGACCUUCGGGUCUAGUGGCGCACGGGUGCGUAACGCGUGGGAACCUGCCCUUAGGUUCGGAAUAACUCCCCGAAAGGGGUGCUAAUACCGGAUAAUGUCUUCGGACCAAAGAUUUAUCGCCUUUGGAUGGGCCCGCGUUGGAUUAGCUAGUUGGUAGGGUAAAAGCCUACCAAGGCGACGAUCCAUAGCUGGUCUGAGAGGAUGAUCAGCCACACUGGGACUGAGACACGGCCCAGACUCCUACGGGAGGCAGCAGUGGGGAAUAUUGGACAAUGGGCGAAAGCCUGAUCCAGCAAUGCCGCGUGAGUGAUGAAGGCCUUAGGGUUGUAAAGCUCUUUUACCCGGGAUGAUAAUGACAGUACCGGGAGAAUAAGCGCCGGCUAACUCCGUG
rnacentral:rRNA from 1 species